GAUGAACGCUGGCGGCGUGCUUAACACAUGCAAGUCGAACGAAGCACUUUAUUACAAUUUCUUCGGAAUGACGAUUUGGUGACUGAGUGGCGGACGGGUGAGUAACGCGUGGGUAACCUGCCUUAUACAGGGGGAUAACAGUUAGAAAUGACUGCUAAUACCGCAUAAGCGCACAGGAUUGCAUGAUCUGGUGUGAAAAACUCCGGUGGUAUAAGAUGGACCCGCGUCUGAUUAGCUGGUUGGUGAGGUAACGGCCCACCAAGGCGACGAUCAGUAGCCGACCUGAGAGGGUGACCGGCCACAUUGGGACUGAGACACGGCCCAAACUCCUACGGGAGGCAGCAGUGGGGAAUAUUGCACAAUGGGGGAAACCCUGAUGCAGCGACGCCGCGUGAGCGAAGAAGUAUUUCGGUAUGUAAAGCUCUAUCAGCAGGGAAGAAAAAAAUGACG
rnacentral:rRNA from 1 species